UCCGGGGGGAGCAAGCGUUGUUCGGAUUUACUGGGCGUAAAGGGCGCGUAGGCGGCCUCUGCAAGUCGACUGUGAAAUCUCCGGGCUUAACCCGGAAAGGUCAGCCGAUACUGCGGGGCUAGAGUGCAGAAGGGGCAACUGGAAUUCUCGGUGUAGCGGUGAAAUGCGUAGAUAUCGAGAGGAACACCUGCGGCGAAGGCGGGUUGCUGGGCUGACACUGACGCUGAGGCGCGAAAGCUAGGGGAGCGAACGGG
rnacentral:rRNA from 1 species